CUCAUCUCUGCAGGGCCGUUGCUGCCACUACUAGAACAGUAUGCAGGCGUAGGUUCUUAUGACCAAAACACUCUCAGGGGGGCCCCAUGGCAAGUUCAGUCACAAGGCGCUAACACUGACAUAUUUACGGGCAACCAACCUCAACUAGCUAGUAUGGCUAAUCAAGGGCCUUCAUGCAGCACGUGGCAUCAGCCAGCACCCAUGUACCUGCC